GCUUAUUAUUAAGAACGUAUUGAGAUUUCCAUUGACCCCAUGCCAUUUGGUUUAUCAUUGCGCGAUCAAAAAGCAAUGCACUUAAAAAGGCUCGAAUAUAUGAAGUUCUGCAGCAAAGGAAGAGCGCGCAGCUUUUCGAAUGAUAUAUAUGCACCAUUCGAACUGUGUUCUUAAGGUCGUCAAUCAGCGUCACUGAUGCGUGAGGAUUGCCGAUCGAGCUAGAUCAUCCAUUUCUUUAACCGACAAAAAAAGAGGAAAACAGACAGAUUCAUGGUUACGUACGAUCGAGGGAAAGCUUCAGAAGAUGUACAUGCCGAUUCUCAGAUUGGCCGGCAUGUAUAUGCUAAUUU